rnacentral:rRNA from 1 species
GAUGAACGCUGGCGGCGUGCCUAAUACAUGCAAGUCGAGCGAACGGACGAGAAGCUUGCUUCUCUGAUGUUAGCGGCGGACGGGUGAGUAACACGUGGAUAACCUACCUAUAAGACUGGGAUAAAUUCGGGAAACCGGAGCUAAUACCGGAUAAUAUUUUGAACUGCAUGGUUCAAAAGUGAAAGACGGUCUUGCUGUCACUUAUAGAUGGAUCCGCGCUGCAUUAGCUAGUUGGUAAGGUAACGGCUUACCAAGGCAACGAUGCAUAGCCGACCUGAGAGGGUGAUCGGCCACACUGGAACUGAGACACGGUCCAGACUCCUACGGGAGGCAGCAGUAGGGAAUCUUCCGCAAUGGGCGAAAGCCUGACGGAGCAACGCCGCGUGAGUGAUGAAGGUCUUCGGAUCGUAAAACUCUGUUAUUAGGGAAGAACAUAUGUGUAAGUAACUGUGCACAUCUUGACGGUACCUAAUCAGAAAGCCACGGCUAACUACGUG